rnacentral:rRNA from 1 species
AUUGAACGCUGGCGGCAUGCCUUACACAUGCAAGUCGAGCGGCAGCGCGGGGGCAACCCUGGCGGCGAGCGGCGAACGGGUGAGUAAUACAUCGGAACGUGUCCAGUUGUGGGGGAUAACCAGUCGAAAGACUGGCUAAUACCGCAUACGAUCUACGGAUGAAAGCGGGGGAUCGCAAGACCUCGCGCAAUUGGAGCGGCCGAUGUCCGAUUAGCUAGUUGGCGGGGUAACGGCCCACCAAGGCGACGAUCGGUAGCUGGUCUGAGAGGAUGAUCAGCCACACUGGAACUGAGACACGGUCCAGACUCCGUACGGGAGGCAGCAGUGGGGGAAUUUUGGACAAUGGGCGCAAGCCUGAUCCAGCCAUGCCGCGUGAGUGAAGAAGGCCUU